rnacentral:rRNA from 1 species
CGUAGGGAGCAAGCGUUGUUCGGAUUUACUGGGCGUAAAGGGCGCGUAGGCGGCAAUUCAAGUCACUUGUGAAAUCUCCGGGCUUAACUCGGAACGGUCAAGUGAUACUGCUUUGCUAGAGUGCGGAAGGGGCAAUCGGAAUUCUCGGUGUAGCGGUGAAAUGCGUAGAUAUCGAGAGGAACACCUGAGGUGAAGACGGGUUGCUAGGCCGACACUGACGCUGACAGCGCGAAAGCCAGGGGAGCAAACGGGAUUAGAUACCCCGGUAGUCCUGGCCCUAAACGAUGAAUACUUGGUGUCUGGAGUUAUUAGUGCUCCGGGUGCCGUCGCUAACGUUUUUAGUAUUCCGCCUGGGGAGUACGCUCGCAAGAGUG